GUCCACGNNGUAAACGAUGGNUGNUGGNUGCUGGGAUGUAUGUCUCGGUGNNGUAGCUANNGCGAUAAGCANCCGCCUGGGGAGUACGGUCGCAAGGCUGAAACUCAAAGAAAUUGACGGGGGCCCGCACAAGCGGUGGAGUAUGUGGUUUAAUUCGAUGCAACGCGAAGAACCUUACCCAGGCUUGANANNUAGGGAACCCUUCGGAAAUGAAGGGGUGCCCUUNGGGGAGCCCUAAGACAGGUGCUGCAUGGCUGUNGUCAGCUCGUGCCGUGAGGUGUUGGGUUAAGUCCCGCAACGAGCGCAACCCCUAUCUUCAGUUGCCAGCAGGUAAGGCUGGGCACUCUGGAGAGACCGCCCCGGUCAACGGGGAGGAAGGUGGGGACGACGUCAAGUCAUCAUGGCCCUUACGCCUGGGGCUACACACGUACUACAAUGGCGCGCACAAAGGGUAGCGAGACCGCGAGGUGGAGCCAAUCCCAAAAAACGCGUCCCAGUCCGGAUUGGAGUCUGCAACUCGACUCCAUGAAGUCGGAAUCGCUAGUAAUUCGAGAUCAGCAUGCUCGGGUGAAUGCGUUCCCGGGCCUUGUACACACCGCCCGUCACACCACGAAAGUCGGUUUUACCCGAAGCCGGUGAGCUAACUCGCAAGAGAAGCAGCCGUCUACGGUAGGGCCGAUGAUUGGGGUGAAGUCGUAACAAGGUAGCAAUCACUAGUGAAUUCGCGGCCGCCUGCAGGUCGACCAUAUGGGAGAGCUCCNNA
rnacentral:rRNA from 1 species